UACGUAGGGUGCGAGCGUUAAUCGGAAUUACUGGGCGUAAAGCGUGCGCAGGCUGUUUUGUAAGUCAGAUGUGAAAUCCCUGGGCUCAACCUAGGAACUGCGUUUGAAACUACAAGGCUAGAGUGUAGCAGAGGGGGGUAGAAUUCCACGUGUAGCAGUGAAAUGCGUAGAGAUGUGGAGGAACACCGAUGGCGAAGGCAGCCCCCUGGGCUAACACUGACGCUCAUGCACGAAAGCGUGGGGAGCAAACAGG
rnacentral:rRNA from 1 species